AUACGGAGGGUGCAAGCGUUAUCCGGAAUCACUGGGUUUAAAGGGUGCGUAGGCGGCCUGGUAAGUCAGAGGAGAAAUACACGAGCUUAACUGGUGAAUUGCCUUUGAAACUAUCAAGCUAGAAUUAUGUUGAGGUCAGCGGAAUGAGUCAUGUAGCGGUGAAAUGAAUAGAUAUGACUUAGAACACCAAUUGCGUAGGCAGCUGGCUGGGCAUUGAUUGACGCUGAGGCACGAAGGCGUGGGGAGCGAACAGGAUUAGAAACCCUAGUAGUCC
rnacentral:rRNA from 1 species